GGCUGUUGAGGGGGGCAUUUUUUUCUUAAUUCAGGGCAAAAUUACUUGUACCUGAUUGGCCUAUACGCAAGUGCGGGAAGUUUCUUGUUUUGAAUUAUUACAGUCGAACCAAUAGAAGCGUUCCGAAAAAUGCUGACCAAUUCAUUUCCUAACUUGAAGGAACACCUCUGAACAAUUCCUCAACAAUUUGAUAAGUUCCUUAAAAAGUUCCUAACUUCCUGUUUCAUUGACCAAUCAGAUUGAUCAAAAAUGAAAUAUAAAAUUUGAUUGGUCAAUGAAACAGGAAGUUAGGAACUUUUUAAGGAACUUAUCAAAUUGUUGAGGAAUUGUUCAGAUCGAGGUGUUCCUUCGAGUUAGGAAAUGAAUUGGUCAACAUUUUCCGGAACACUUCUAUUGACACGACUG